rnacentral:misc_RNA from 1 species
GAUGAAGAACGUAGCGAAAUGCGAUAAGUAAUGUGAAUUGCAGAAUUCAGGGAAUCAUCGAAUCUUUGAACGCACAUUGCGCCCGCCAGUAUUCUGGCGGGCAUGCCUGUUCGAGCGUCAUUUCAACCAUCAAGCCCCCGGCUUGUGUUGGGGACCUGCGGCUGCCGCAGGCCCUGAAAACCAGUGGCGGGCUCGCUAGUCACUCCGAGCGUAGUAAUACAUCUCGCUCAGGGCGUGCUGCGGGUUCCGGCCGUUAAAAGCCUUAUUUUACCCAAGGUUGACCUCGGAUCAGGUAGGAAGACCCGCUGAACUUAAGCAUAUCAAUAAGCGGAGGA